GGGGAUUUGGCUCAGUGGUAGAGCACUUGCCUAGGAAGCACAAGGUCCUGGGUUCAAUCCCCAGCCCCG
rfam:Rattus norvegicus chromosome 13, whole genome shotgun sequence.